rnacentral:rRNA from 1 species
UACGAAGGGGGCUAGCGUUGCUCGGGAUUACUGGGCGUAAAGCGUGCGCAGGCGGUUCGUUGUGUCGGUGGUGAAAGCCCCGGGCUUAACCUGGGAAUGGCCAUGGAAACUGGCGAACUGGAGUGUGGCAGAGGGGGGUGGAAUUCCGCGUGUAGCAGUGAAAUGCGUAGAGAUGCGGAGGAACACCGAUGGCGAAGGCAGCCCCCUGGGCUAGCACUGACGCUCAGGCACGAAAGCGUGGGGAGCAAACAGG